CAGGUGCUGCAUGGCUGUCGUCAGCUCGUGCCGUGAGGUGUUACGGUUAAGUCCUGCAACGAGCGCAACCCUCGUCGCUAGUUAAUUUCUCUAGCGAUACUGCCCGUAAAACGUGGAGGAAGGUGGGAUGACGUCAAGUCAGCAUGGCCUUUAUGUCUUGGGCUACACACACGCUACAAUGGAUGGUACAAAGGGUUGCCAAAGAGCGAUCUGGAGCUAAUCCCAAAAACCAUCCUCAGUUCAGAUUGCAGGCUGCAAUGCCUGCAUGAAGUUGGAGUUGCUAGUAACCGCAGGUCAGCACACUGCGUUGAAUACGUUCCCGGGUCUU
rnacentral:rRNA from 1 species